rnacentral:rRNA from 1 species
CGGGACGGGGUGGAGUAAUGUCUGGGAAACUGCCCGAUGGAGGGGGAUAACUACUGGAAACGGUAGCUAAUACCGCAUAACGUCGCAAGACCAAAGAGGGGGACCUUAGGGCCUCUUGCCAUCGGAUGUGCCCAGAUGGGAUUAGCUAGUAGGUGGGGUAACGGCUCACCUAGGCGACGAUCCCUAGCUGGUCUGAGAGGAUGACCAGCCACACUGGAACUGAGACACGGUCCAG